UGAUGAUGGUGAGGACAAUUGAUAAGCGGAGAUUUGAACCUAUCCCAAGCUUGAUAUAAAUUCUCUCCAGAUUUUUGUUUAAAGCUUAGGAUUUUGCUUCUCAACUU